GCCCGGAUGGUGGAAUGCAGACACGGCGAGCUUAAACCUCGCUGGCCUUCAGGCCGUACCGGUUCGAAUCCGGUUCCGGGCA
rnacentral:tRNA from 2 species